AGGUUGGUGCAUGGUUGUCGUCAGCUCGUGUCGUGAGAUGUUGGGUUAAGUCCCGCAACGAGCGCAACCCUCGACCUUAGUUGCCAGCAUUCAGUUGGGCACUCUAAGGUGACUGCCGGCUAAAAAGUCGGAGGAAGGUGGGGAUGACGUCAAAUCAUCAUGCCCCUUAUGACCUGGGCUACACACGUGCUACAAUGGCCAACACAAUAGGUUGCUAAGCCGCGAGGUGGCGCCAAUCCAUAAAGUUGGUCUCAGUUCAGAUUGUAGGCUGCAACCCGCCUGCAUGAAGAUGGAGUUGCUAGUAACCGCAGGUCAGCUAUACUGCGGUGAAUACGUUCCCGGGGCUU
rnacentral:rRNA from 1 species